CGAGAGAAGCCCAAUGGGCCACAUUGCAAAGGACUCAACAUGGACUUCAAGCCCCAGAAACAAGCACCCUUUUCUCUGACAGGAAUAGCUACAGGGAGCUUUCAGAAGUUGCUUGGCAAGCUAGGAGAUGCGCUGAGGCUGCAAGGAUGCUUGAAUACUUGAACCGGCAAGUAUCCUAACUCAUCAUCUCCUAGAACUCUUUGCAUCAAGAGGAUACUGAUGUGGGUUCCAAUUUAGUGUGGCUCAUUCAGGAUGCCUGAGACAUGACUUUAAUGACCCUCAUGUCUUUUAUGGAUUUAAUUCUUUUAAUUAAAAUUACUAUCAAAAUCGGAACACCUGGGGCCCCCAUUCUGCUCAGGGAAGGCCUUGUAUGGUAUUUUUCAUCUAGGAGCUCCUAUCCUUGAGUUUCCUCAAGAUCAAAUUUGAUUGUUCUAUUUUGGACAAAGGCAGGAGGGAAGGUGCUAGAUUUGUCAUCAGGGCCCGAACUCCAGGGUGGUGGCUGUCAAAUCUUCGACACGUUGGUUUUGGAACAGAGUCAAAGUUGGUUUGGGCUGGCCUGUGUCAUGCGCGACGAGUGCUACAGGCUAGCUCGAUUAUAUUGGAGGGUGACUUGGCCACCGUGAUCAGCUAGGUCAAGGGGGUCCUUGCGGUGUUGAAGGGGGAUACCUCCUGCUUCGAGACAUUUGGGCGAUGGUGAGAGAUGAAAUGGCCUUUCAGGCUAAGCAUGUGUUCAGAGAGGCCAACGGAGCGACGGACUAGGUGGUUGUAUAUGUGGCCUGCCACUCUGGAGGCACCUUGUGGGCCGGGCAGGGAGAGUUGCCUAGAACACUCUAUGACUUGUUGUUUUCUGAUUUUGUUGGAUAUAUCCAUACUCGAAAUGCUGAGGGAGCUGCACGCACUUAAGGGCCAUGUGGAAUCAAUGGCCAAGAUGAAAGGGCUUGAUAUUGACACCGCCCAACAGAACUACACAGUAUGAUGGCAUGCAAAGGAAUGCUUGACAAAGGAUAGGGAACUCUUAUGCUCUGUUAUUAGUUUUCCUCAGAUCCAAGUAGCAACAGUCAAUGGCUUCCAUAAGCUCCGCAUGAUUAUAGAUUAACAGCACUAACCUAUUGUACUUCAUGGCUGUUAUUAGGAACUAAUCAAGUAAUUUUGCAUAUUAUGUUAUGGGAACUGAAGUCCACUUGUUCUUAUGAACUCCAUGUAGUUGCGUGUGAUCUUUAAUGAAUCUUUAUUGGAACGGUUGACCUACAUGUCAAACUGAAAUAGCACGAAAAAGCCUGUUUCAUUCUUGUUGUUUUCUUUCAAGUUCAGAUUCAAUUGACUAUAUAAGAUAAGCUCAAUAUGCGGUUUUUAACUGUGUUCUCUCUCUGCUUGGCCCCUAAGAAGUAGUCAUAAGUUGAUAGCA